ensembl:lncRNA
GGAAGAUUUAUUUCAAAGGCAACUUCACUAAUGUGGCUCAUCAAAGUACUCUGAGCCCAGGAGAGAUGCUUGAGAGAGUGGCUGUCUCUCUGAGGACAAGUGUGGACUCCAGUGGCAGACUCACUCACCCAAGGCUGACACACUUCCCUGGAAGAGCAAGCUAUAGCAAAUGGCAAUUAUUUCAAGCCACCUGCACCAAGGAGGCACCUUCUUAGGGCUCAGCUCUUCUCCUCCUCCUCACCAUCAGAUACCCUUCUGUGAUGUGAUAAGGACCAUGACUGAAAGCAUCUUGGGGAGGAAAAGGUGUAUUUCAGCUUUUGCUUCCAGAUCCAUCGUGAAAGGAUACUGCCCAGGGAGUCAAGGCAGGAACCUGGAGGAAGGAGCCAAGACCACCAUGGAGGAGCACUGCUCACUGGCUUGCUCUCUCAUUGCUUGUUCAUUUUACUUUCUUAAGCAACCCGGGACCAUCUGCCCAGGGUGCUCUGGGCCCUCCCACAUGAAUAAUUAAUCAGGGAAUAUCCCAACGAUUUGCCUACCGGCCAAUCUGAUGAAAACCGAUUCCUCGAUUGACACUCCCUCUUCCCAGGUGAUCCGGGGCUGACAAAAAACUAACCAGCACACAUCUUGAAAGUGAGACUCGGGCUAGCCUCUGCCCCUUUGGUCAGUGCUGUCAGGUCCCUUUGGACAGUUUUACUCUUAUCAGCUGUCACUGGUGGGAUGAGGAUGCGGUGCUUCACGAAGAAAGUUCAUUUCAGAGGGCAGCAUGGUCAGACUGGAGAGGAUGAGAGCAAAGCUGGGGUCGGGGGGACAGAAGCUGGGACCUCACAUCCUGGGGAGGAGGACCCCAUGCCCACCUUUAUGUUGUGCAGCUCACUGGGGACUGGAGAAAGAUGGGGCUGGAGGAUGACAUCUCCACCUUCCUGGUUCGCCUACACCCUUCUCUUCGAUGUCCCUCAGCAAAUAGGCCUUGUGCACCACCUGCUGUCCAGAUUGUGAAUGGUAUACUAACAUUCCAUGCAUUGUUUGAGUUUAUUCAGAUUAUGGUCAAGCAGUCUCCACCCGGCUUCUUCUCUACUCCUGCGUGGCUUUCUGAGAACCCAUAGCAGUGGUUCUCAACCUUCCUAAUGCCACGACCCUUUAAUACAGUUCCUCGUGUUAUGAUGACCCCCCAACAAUAAAAUUAUUUCAUUGCUACUUCAUAACUAAUUUUGUUUCUGUUAUGAAUCACAGUGUAAGUAUUUAACAUGCAGGAUAUCAGCUCUGUGACCCCUGUGGAGUCACGCCCCACAGGUUGAGAACCAUUACCUUAUAGCAUGCUUGCUGAACACGAGUAGACAUGAACCGACUGCAGCAGAGGUAACUUUGGCUUGCGCCAAUGAGGUUUUAACCUCUCCCUAGAGAGGCUGGGGAGGCCCUGGAGUAAGAAAUAAAAAUAUGAUUCUGCAGUCCUAAAGCUCAGUCUACUGGGAAGGCUUGUGGGAAGCACACAAGCAGCUAAUUGAAAUGACAACGUUGUGAGGGAGACAAUGAGGACACAGAGAGUGAUGUGAGCUACACUGAUGCCUGUCAGAGAGGUAGCAGUAUUUACCGGAGCCCGGAGGGAUGGGCAGGCAUUCACAGGAAGGGAAGAACAACUGACUGGCUUUCCAGGUGGGUGGAAUGGCAAAUGCAAAAAUUAAGGACAUUUAAGCAUCUAUCACCUCUUCUGGGAGCAGCAAGAAGUGACUUGGGAACAACUGUUUGCAUUCUGUAACAAGUCCUCCCAGGCUUCUUGAGAUGUGUUUGUAGGUAAAUCUUUGUAAAGGGUGUGUCUGUCUGUGAUUUGCCUUCAUUCUCUACACAUCAUAUUUUAGAGACCCCCC